GGACAAGUUGUUUCCAUUUUCUAAUUUAAGGGAAUUGGACUUUGCUUGUUGGUGCACUUAUAAAUACCUUAACUCGGGGCCUGACUUUGUAUGCGUUUUAUCACAGAAAACAUCAUGAAAAGAGUUUGAAAUAGAUUGGCAUCCUUCUCCUGGAGCUUUAGUUUAUCAGCUCUCUACUCCCUCUGUCAUCGACUACGCAAAGGUAAGAGCUUCACUUAAAUUUUAUAAAAGAAACGUC